rnacentral:rRNA from 1 species
CAGCAGCCACGGGAAUACGAAGGGGGCUAGCGUUGUUCGGAAUUACUGGGCGUAAAGCGCACGUAGGCGGAUAUUUAAGUCAGGGGUGAAAUCCCGCAGCUCAACUGCGGAACUGCCUUUGAUACUGGGUAUCUUGAGUAUGGAAGAGGUUAGUGGAAUUGCGAGUGUAGAGGUGAAAUUCGUAGAUAUUCGCAGGAACACCAGUGGCGAAGGCGGCUAACUGGUCCAUAACUGACGCUGAGGUGCGAAAGCGUGGGGAGCAAACAGGAUUAGAUACCCGGGUAGUCCCUGUCUCUUAUAC